CUUCAGACCUCAAUACCACUUUUCACAGAAUCACAGAAUCACAGAAACACCAAGGUUGGAAAAGACCUACAAGAUCAUCCAGUCCAACCAACUUUUCCACAUCAGCAGCUGCUGCGUGUCCCAGGAAGGUUACACAGCAUUGCAGGUGGGAGCAGAGGUGGACCUGCAUGGGAGGGCAUCAUCCCAGCAGCCGUGUGUGAGCGCAGAGCUCACAGCUCACAGCACAGCUCACAGCACAGCUCACAGCACAGCUCACAGCACACAGCUCACAGCACAGCUCACAGCUCACAGCACACAGCUCACAGCACACACAGCUCACACAGCACAGCACACAGCUCACAGCUCACACAGCACAGCUCACAGCUCACACAGCACACAGCACACACAGCUCACAGCUCACAGCACACAGCACACAGCUCACACAGCACACAGCUCACACAGCACACAGCUCACACAGCACAGCUCACAGCUCACACAGCACACAGCACACACAGCACACAGCUCACAGCACACAGCUCACACCACACAGCUCACACCACACAGCUCACACAGCACACAGCUCACACAGCUCACAGCACACAGCUCACAGCUCACAGCACACAGCACACAGCACACACAGCACAGCUCACAGCUCACACAGCACAGCUCACAGCACAGCUCACAGCUCACAGCACAGCUCACACAGCUCACACAGCUCACAGCACACAGCUCACAGCACACAGCUCACAGCUCACAGCACACAGCACACAGCUCACAGCACACAGCUCACAGCUCACAGCUCACAGCUCACAGCACACAGCUCACAGCACACAGCUCACAGCACACAGCUCACAGCUCACAGCUCACAGCUCACAGCUCACAGCACACAGCACACAGCUCACAGCACACAGCUCACAGCUCACAGCUCACAGCUCACAGCUCACAGCACACAGCUCACAGCUCACAGCACACAGCUCACAGCUCACAGCUCACACAGCUCACAGCUCACACAGCUCACAGCUCACACAGCUCACAGCACACAGCACACAGCACACAGCUCACACCACACAGCACACAGCUCACACAUCACAGACAUCACACACAUCACACACAGCACACCUGCUGUGCCCCGCAGGCCAACACGAGGUGCUCUGUCCCGGUGUGCUGACAGUGUGUCCUACAGAUGAAAAAUGCUGGUAA
rnacentral:lncRNA from 1 species